AUUUCAGAUUUUGGAUUGGCAAAAACACUCAAAGGUGACCAAAUUCAAUACAAGACAAGCAGAGUUGUUGGAACUUAUGGGUAUAUGUCGCCUGAGUAUGCAGUAUUUGGAAAAUUUUCUACUAAGUCAGACGUCUUCAGCUUUGGAGUUAUACUAUUGGAGACUUUAAGUGGCAAGAAGAGCAAUGGUUUUAUUCAGGAUCCUUCUCUGAGCUUGAUAGGACAUGU
rnacentral:misc_RNA from 1 species